rnacentral:rRNA from 1 species
AUUCCAGCUCCAAUAGCGUAUAUUUAAGUUGUUGCAGUUAAAAAGCUCGUAGUUGGAUUUUGGUUAAGAGGGCGCGGUCGGCCGUUUGGUCUGUACUGCGUUGUCUUGACUUCCUGAUGAGGACAUGCUCUUGGUUAACGCUGAGACAUGGAGUCAUCGUGGUUACUUUGAAAAAAUUAGAGUGUUCAAAGCGGGCUUACGCUUGAAUAUAUUAGCAUGGAAUAACACUAUAGGACUCCUGUCCUAUCUCGUUGGUCUCGGGAUGGGAGUAAUGAUUAAGAGGAACAGUUGGGGGCAUUCGUAUUUCAUUGUCAGAGGUGAAAUUCUUGGAUUUAUGAAAGACGAACUUCUGCGAAAGCAUUUGCCAAGGAUGUUUUCAUUG